rnacentral:rRNA from 1 species
UACGUAGGGUGCGAGCGUUGUCCGGAAUUAUUGGGCGUAAAGAGCUUGUAGGCGGUUUGUCGCGUCUGCUGUGAAAAUCCGGGGCUCAACCCCGGACUUGCAGUGGGUACGGGCAGACUAGAGUGUGGUAGGGGAGACUGGAAUUCCUGGUGUAGCGGUGAAAUGCGUAGAUAUCGGGAGGAGCACCAGUGGCGAAGGCGAGUCUCUGGGAUGAUGCUGACGCUGAGGCGCGAAAGCCAGGGGAGCAAACGGG